AAUGUACUGCACGAUGUAACCCUUUAUGAAGCACACGCAUCAUGAAGGCACAGGGUAAUGUACGGCCAAAGCUCAUCAUUCUAAUGAAUAAAGCAUCGGAUUGAUGGGUGGAAGGUUGUCCUGCCUUUCCUUCAUACGAAGCGGACAGCACUUCGGGUGUAAAGCUAAAGCAGCUACGCAUAUCGCUUAGCAAUACACGCGUCUAACGAAGCAUUUACAUCCCAAAUACAGGUCAGAGAGAGAAAAUCGCUUGAGCUGUACAUCGACAAUUUCUGCAUGGCUUUUGCCCUCGCCCAAAGCUGCCAUAGUGGCUUGACAAUAUUUGCUCAAUAAUGCAUCAGUAAAUAAUCUGUUGAAUACUUCAGUUGUUCAGUGCUGAAAGUAUAGAGUGUCAGUUUCCACGUGUACACACUCCUCAUGCAUCACGUGGCGUUACUAAAUCCAUCCUUUAGACGCUCUCCACGGUUAAACUAAUUGAACGAAGUGUCCCAAAGCAAUCCGAACAAAUUUUAGGUUUGAUUCUGGGAACUAUGAAAUCAGAAAUGCCUUUACGUCGAUGCUUUAAACGGCAUGUCACUUACUGGGAUGUUAUGCUCGCAUCUUAGGCCCAGGGCAAAUUUACUCGAGAUAUUACUCGAUUCGCAUAAACAACAGCAGAUCGGGUGAUGUGUGGAGGAAUGGAGGGGUGGAGGAAUGGAGGAAUGGAGGAAUAUAUGGUCCGAAGGAGGGAUGGAGGGUGGGGAGGGGUGAUGUAUGGAGAGGGUGAUGGAGGAGCGGAUGGAGGAAGGAAUGGAGGGAUGGUGGGAGGAAUAGAGGAAGGGAUGGAAGGAUGGAGGGAAGUAUGGAUAGGGGGAGGGAGAGAAGGAGGAUGGAGGGAGGGAUGUAUGAAGGAAGGGAGGCAGGGAUGUAUGGCCCUAUGGCCCUAUGGCCCUAUACAUACAUUUAACCGGUCACCAAUCGAUCACCGGGCCCAACCGGUCUGUAGGGUGGGGCCUCGGUAGGACGACCGCGGAGUUACCGGCCCUUAAAUCUUAUCCUGGAAAAAGCAACUAGACAUAUUAAGGUUGGCUUUUAUAGAAAUCGAUCUUCCUGGCUCAUCAACCAUAACCCUUGGUGGGGGACGGAACCCGUGAACCAGCGUCAACAGGGAAGAACGGCGUCUCCCCGCUGAGCGGUCCCUUGGUAACUAAUGACUUAUCCAUCCAUCCAUCCAUCCAUCCAUCCAUCCAUCCAUCCAAGAAACAGGAUAAGCAAGAACAUAUUCUUGCUUUACGUAUUACUUAACGGGCAGUGUUUUUUCAUUUUUGCCCGUCAAAUUUCCAGUCCGAACGGAGGAAUAGGUUUUUAGUCGCGGGAAUAUAUUCCCGUGUGUGUGCACACAUACGCACUCUCUGGCAUAGGUAAGGGCUACCAGGCCUCAUCUAUCGCAUCAUCUCAUCACCGAAUAACCUGUCAGUUUCGUCUGUGGGAACGCAGCAUAACAACCGCACUGCCCAAGCCAUAUCGAUUAAGUGCUUUCCAGCCAAACGCCACCAUGUGUAUCAUAUCACCUUUCGCACUUAAAUCGCAGUGACGGAACAUUGAUACAGAAAGCCAAUCUUGGCAAGAAGUAUCAGGGGAAAUAGUUAAUAUACAUCCGUGCGUGUGCGUUGGUAGAAAUGGACGGCGGACCGACAUGUUGAACGUGAUGGUCGUCCUUUCGCUACUGGUGCUCAAUGCGUGUGACCUUUACAACAAGUUUACGGCAUGACUCAUUUGUUCCUAUGCGUUGACGCUACUCCUGCCAAAGCAAGGUCAACACAAUGUCCGCGCGUCUGUGACAGUAAGAAUCUUAUGUCUUUUCCCUUCGAUUGCUUUCUCCAUCUAUGCAGAAAGCUUAUUUACUAUAUGUGCUAGUGGCUCGGAUAGCCUCGCUUGCAAACAUCGGUAUUCUGCUUUCAUAAAGGCUCUCGGCUGUAAUCGCAAUCUCGGCUUUCUUUCGCCAGCCCAUCUCCUGGGUCACGGGUAUUGUCUUCUGCUGUAUAUAUGCUAUACGUAGGUAUAUAACAUGGGAUAGCUUAGAGUGAGACCUCCCGCCGCACGCGGUUAUGACCUCCGGAGGCUGCCGGCUGGACCGGCCCAGACCCUGGCUUCCUGGUAACGAGGACACAACCCCUUCUGAACCAGCUUUCUGGAACCUCCAAGGUUGCAGAUGCAAUCCCUGCCGCUCAUGGUUUCAGACGCGCGGUCCCGAAAUGUAAACUUUUCCCCAGAAACAGGAUUACU
rnacentral:lncRNA from 1 species